rnacentral:rRNA from 1 species
UCCGUAGGGUGCGAGCGUUGUCCGGAAUUAUUGGGCGUAAAGGGCUCGUAGGCGGUUUGUCGCGUCGGGAGUGAAAACUCAGGGCUUAACCCUGAGCCUGCUUCCGAUACGGGCAGACUAGGGGUAUGCAGGGGAGAACGGAAUUCCUGGUGUAGCGGUGAAAUGCGCAGAUAUCAGGAGGAACACCGGUGGCGAAGGCGGUUCUCUGGGCAUUACCUGACGCUGAGGAGCGAAAGUGUGGGGAGCGAACAGG